rnacentral:lncRNA from 10 species
GUGCUUCUGUGGCCUAUGGUUGCCCUGCUGCUCCCUGGACGAGGGGGUGGGUGUGGACCAGCCCUCGUGGCCCCUCUGCAGCCAGCACCAUCCUCAGUAAAGACUACAGAAGCCACAAGAAACUAAUCCAUGGGGAUGGCCAGGCCUGAUUAGCUGGGGUGGGGCUGGAGGCUCCUCUACAGAGAUGAUGCUUACACUGAGACCUGAAGGAGAAGGAGGAGGUGGCUGCUCACGCAACCCACAGGAAAGUGUUCCAGGAUCAAGAACAGCAGGUGCAAAGGCCCCGUGAUGGAAAGGAUUGGUGCACUAGGAGAACAAAGGCAGCCUGGACACCAGGUUUGGUCUACCUCGUCCACACCCGCCUGCUUCUGUCCCGCCUUAAGCGGAUCCGUGAUGUCCCGUCAUUAGACCUUCAAUUUCAGCACAGGACUGAAUAACUAACCUUCAAAAAGUUUGCAGUAGCCUUGUCACUCCUAAAAAUAACAAAUAAUUCCUUAAACAUCAUUCAACAUCCAAUCAGUGUUUGCACACUUUUUUUACAGCUCUGCAUGUGUGUCACAAGCUAAACAAGGCCCGUGAGUGGAUGUGCUUCUUUUUGGGGUUGGGGAGAGACGGUGUCUCACUCUGUUGCCCAGGCUGGAUUGCAGUGGCAAGAUCUUGGCUCAUUGUGUCUCCCGGGUUCAAGCGAUUCUUCUGCCUCAGACUCUUGAGUAGCUGGGACUACAGGCAGUGCCACCACGCCUGGCUAAUAUUUGUAUUUUUAGUGGAGACGGGGUUUCACCAUGUUGGUGAGGCUGGUCUCAAACUCUUGACCUCAUGUGAUCCCCCGACCUCGGCCUCUCAAAGUGCUGGGAUUACAGGUGUGAGACACCGUGCCCUGCCUGAUGUGCUCCUUUUAAUGACAGGUUCCCCGCAGCAUCUCCCUGUCCCUCUUCC